AGUGACGCGGUGCCAGCAGCCGCGGUAAGACCGAGGGGGCAAGCGUGAAUGGGAAUUACGGGGCGUGAGGCGGAAGUAGGUGGCUGGGUAAGUUGGAGGUGUAAGCGCGGGUGUGAACUGGGGAAUUGCAUUCAGGACUGCCUGGGUAGAGUGUGGAAGAGUGAAGCGGAAUUCCAGGUGUAGCGGUGAAAUGCGUAGAUAUCUGGAGGAACAUCAGUGGCGAAGGCUGCUUCCUGGUCCAACACUGACACUGAGGUGCGAAAGCGUGGGGAGCAAACAGGAUUAGAUACCCUAGUAGUC
rnacentral:rRNA from 1 species